CCUACGGGGGGCAGCAGUGGGGAAUAUUGCACAAUGGGGGAAACCCUGAUGCAGCGACGCCGCGUGAGUGAGGAAGUAUUUCGGUAUGUAAAGCUCUAUCAGCAGGGAAGAAAAUGACGGUACCUGACUAAGAAGCCCCGGCUAACUACGUGCCAGCAGCCGCGGUAAUACGUAGGGGGCAAGCGUUAUCCGGAUUUACUGGGUGUAAAGGGAGCGUAGACGGUUAAUCAAGUCAGAAGUGAAAACCCAGGGCUCAACCUUGGGACUGCUUUUGAAACUGAGUAGCUAGAGUGCAGGAGAGGUAA
rnacentral:rRNA from 1 species